AGAUGCCACGAGAGAAACUUCCAAUUUCACUGGGAUCUGUUUGUUGUCAGGAAGGAAAGGACGUCUGCCUGCAAUGAGGAAGUUCAAAAUUUCAGUGGUGGUAUUUUCUUAGAGGACUGUGGACAUGCUUCGUAGAAUAAUGAAGGAGAGGAGAAGAGAUGAUUUCAGGCUAAGAAAUGGUGGCAGGGGAGAAACAGAGUUGUAAAGUCCGUGAAGGACCACAAUGGAGCUGAG